GGAUAGCUCAGUUGGUAGAGCCUGAGACUCUUAAUCUCAGGGUUGUGGGUUUGAGCCCCACACUGAAGCA
rnacentral:tRNA from 1 species